rnacentral:tRNA from 1 species
GGACUAUAGCUCAGAGGCAGAGUAUGUGCUUUGCAUGCACAGGGUCCUGGCUUCAAUCCCCAGUUCCUCCA